AGUGAACGCUGGCGGUAGGCCUAACACAUGCAAGUCGAACGGCAGCACAGUAAGAGCUUGCUCUUACGGGUGGCGAGUGGCGGACGGGUGAGGAAUACAUCGGAAUCUACUUUUUCGUGGGGGAUAACGUAGGGAAACUUACGCUAAUACCGCAUACGACCUACGGGUGAAAGCAGGGGAUCUUCGGACCUUGCGCGAUUGAAUGAGCCGAUGUCGGAUUAGCUAGUUGGCGGGGUAGAGGCCCACCAAGGCGACGAUCCGUAGCUGGUCUGAGAGGAUGAUCAGCCACACUGGAACUGCGACACGGUCCAGACUCCUACGGGAGGCAGCAGUGGGGAAUAUUGGACAAUGGGCGCAAGCCUGAUCCAGCCAUACCGCGUGGGUGAAGAAGGCCUUCGGGUUGUAAAGCCCUUUUGUUGGGAAAGAAAAGCAGCAGGUUAAUACCCCGCUGUUCUGACGGUACCCAAAGAAUAAGCACCGGCUAACUUCGUG
rnacentral:rRNA from 1 species